CUGGAAACAGAGAAGUGCUUUAGCAAUAAAGAACCCGGUGACAGGUGCUGCAUGGCUGUCGUCAGCUCGUGUCGUGAGAUGUUGGGUUAAGUCCCGCAACGAGCGCAACCCUCGCCUUUAGUUGCCAGCAUUCAGUUGGGCACUCUAGAGGGACUGCCCGGGUGUCAAACCGGAGGAAGGUGGGAUGACGUCAAGUCCUCAUGGCCUUUAUGUCUAGGGCUACACACGUACUACAAUGGCCGGUACAAAGGGCAGCCACUCAGCGAUGAGGCGCUAAUCCCAUAAAGCCGGUCUCAGUCCGGAUCGCAGUCUGCAACUCGACUGCGUGAAGUUGGAAUCGCUAGUAAUCGUAGAUCAGCAUGCUACGGUGAAUACGUUCCCGGGCCUU
rnacentral:rRNA from 1 species